rnacentral:rRNA from 1 species
ACACGUGGAUAACCUGCCCUAAGGUGGAGCAUAACCCCGGGAAACUGGGGAUAAUACUCCAUAGGUUAUGGAUGCUGGAAUGCUUCAUAACUCAAAGCUCCGGCGCCUUAGGAUGGAUCUGCGGUCGAUUAGGUUGUUGUUGGGGUAACGGCCCAACAAGCCUGUAAUCGAUACGGGUUGUGGGAGCAAGAGCCCGGAGAUGGAAUCUGAGACACGAUUCCAGGCCCUACGGGGCGCAGCAGGCGCGAAAAUUUUACAAUGCAGGAAACUGUGAUAAGGGAACCCCGAGUGCCCGUAUACGCGGGCUGUCCAGGUGUGUAAAAAGCACCUGAAGAAAGGGCCGGGCAAGACCGGUGCCAGCCGCCGCGGUAAUACCGGCGGCUCGAGUGGUGGCCACUUUUAUUGGGCUUAAAGCGUCCGUAGCUGGACUCCUAAGUCCCUUGGGAAAUCUCUUGGCUUAACCAAGAGGCGUCUAAGAGAUACUGGGAGUCUAGGGACCGGGAGAGGUGAGAGGUACUCCGGGGGUAGGAGUGAAAUCCUGUAAUCCCCGGGGGACCAC